rnacentral:lncRNA from 1 species
UCCCGCAUUGUACUUGGUGAAGUCCCCAGUCGCAGUAUCAAAUGCAACAUCAGUACCAACAGCAAAAGCCCCAGUUCCAAACACACCAGAAAAGCUAACAAGAGGAUUUGCAUUCAGGCCAACAAUAGCAUUCAGGCCAGCAUGUGGAUGCAAACUUCUGGUAGGGAAAAGGAAUGGAUAGAAUUCCCUUCAGGCCUGGAGUGCCCAGAUCAUGAACUGUGA